UCCUAGCAAGUCCACUGAACUGAGUUGCUGUGGAAUGUUAGGCCCUGGGCCAAAUGAAUGUUUAAAAUUAUCUCAGGCAUGAGUCCCUCAACAAUCAAGCAGUUGGUGAAAUUUCGCCUCAGGGAACUUGGAUUUCCAGUGAAGUUCAUGGGACAGUGGAACAAGAUGCAUCUCUGGGCUUCACAGCCAAGAUAUGAAUGUUAUGAAGAAGCCAUAAACAGAGAUUUAUGCCUAGAGAAGCUGAAAUAAACUGAUGAAUGAAGACCCAAGAGCACCAGUGGGAUCAAGCUGUGUGUUCAAUAACAGAAUUCAAUCAGUGUUCAGACACAAGGACUCUGAGGAGCGGUGGUCCAACUGAGGAAGCUGCUGGGCCUAUCCUCACCACAGGACCUGCGAGGGAACCUAUGAAGACCUGAACCUAACCAGGUCCCCAUUCUACCCAUGACUCUCCCAGGCUUCCAUCACACCAAAUUUGUCUCUGACAAUCUCCCUGUACCCGCAUCUUGACUCCCUCACCCCUGCUCUUCCACUGGCAAUGUAGAGCUAAGUGCUGUGGUCUCCAUGGUGAUCCUCCCACUAUGCAGGGCCAGCCCUCUGCCCUCUGUUACUGAAAGAGCUGGGCCAUCCUUGCUACAUCACCCAUGCUUGAUGGCUUCGUAAGCCCUCUAUUCAAAAGCUCAACACCCAGCCCUUUCCUCCUUCACUGUUCUGCAUGGUCUCGAUCGCCUCCCACAGGGUGUGUGUGGGCCGGAAUAGCCUGCUCACCCUCUUCUGCCUGCAGAAUGUCGUACUGGGAACAGGUUCUUCC
rnacentral:lncRNA from 1 species